AUUGAACGCUGGCGGCAUGCUUUACACAUGCAAGUCGAACGGCAGCGCGGGGCAACCUGGCGGCGAGUGGCGAACGGGUGAGUAAUAUAUCGGAACGUACCCAAGAGUGGGGGAUAACGUAGCGAAAGUUACGCUAAUACCGCAUACGAUCUAUGGAUGAAAGUGGGGGAUCGCAAGACCUCAUGCUCCUGGAGCGGCCGAUAUCUGAUUAGCUAGUUGGUGAGGUAAAGGCUCACCAAGGCCACGAUCAGUAGCUGGUCUGAGAGGACGACCAGCCACACUGGAACUGAGACACGGUCCAGACUCCUACGGGAGGCAGCAGUGGGGAAUUUUGGACAAUGGGCGCAAGCCUGAUCCAGCAAUGCCGCGUGAGUGAAGAAGGCCUUCGGGUUGUAAAGCUCUUUUGUCAGGGAAGAAACGGUGGGAGCUAAUAUCUCCCACUAAUGACGGUACCUGAAGAAUAAGCACCGGCUAACUACGUGCCAGCAGCCGCGGUAAUACGUAGGGUGCAAGCGUUAAUCGGAAUUACUGGGCGUAAAGCGUGCGCAGGCGGUUUUGUAAGUCUGUCGUGAAAGCCCCGGGCUCAACCUGGGAAUUGCGAUGGAGACUGCAAGGCUUGAAUCUGGCAGAGGGGGGUAGAAUUCCACGUGUAGCAGUGAAAUGCGUAGAGAUGUGGAGGAACACCGAUGGCGAAGGCAGCCCCCUGGGUCAAGAUUGACGCUCAUGCACGAAAGCGUGGGGAGCAAACAGGAUUAGAUACCCUGGUAGUCCACGCCCUAAACGAUGUCUACUAGUUGUCGGGUUUUAAUUAACUUGGUAACGCAGCUAACGCGUGAAGUAGACCGCCUGGGGAGUACGGUCGCAAGAUUAAAACUCAAAGGAAUUGACGGGGACCCGCACAAGCGGUGGAUGAUGUGGAUUAAUUCGAUGCAACGCGAAAAACCUUACCUACCCUUGACAUGUACGGAAGCCACGAGAGAUCGAGGUGUGCUCGAAAGAGAACCGUAACACAGGUGCUGCAUGGCUGUCGUCAGCUCGUGUCGUGAGAUGUUGGGUUAAGUCCCGCAACGAGCGCAACCCUUGUCAUUAGUUGCUACAUUCAGUUGAGCACUCUAAUGAGACUGCCGGUGACAAACCGGAGGAAGGUGGGGAUGACGUCAAGUCCUCAUGGCCCUUAUGGGUAGGGCUUCACACGUCAUACAAUGGUACAUACAGAGGGCCGCCAACCCGCGAGGGGGAGCUAAUCCCAGAAAGUGUAUCGUAGUCCGGAUCGCAGUCUGCAACUCGACUGCGUGAAGUUGGAAUCGCUAGUAAUCGCGGAUCAGCAUGUCGCGGUGAAUACGUUCCCGGGUCU
rnacentral:rRNA from 1 species